CCUACGGGAGGCAGCAGUGAGGAAUAUUGGUCAAUGGGCGAGAGCCUGAACCAGCCAAGUCGCGUGAGGGAUGACUGCCCUAUGGGUUGUAAACCUCUUUUGUAUGGGGGGAAUAAGCUUUACGAGUAGAGUGAUGACAGUACCAUACGAAUAAGCAUCGGCUAACUCCGUGCCAGCAGCCGCGGUAAUACGGAGGAUGCGAGCGUUAUCCGGAUUUAUUGGGUUUAAAGGGUGCGUAGGCGGCAUUAUAAGUUAGUGGUAAAAUAGUGGGGCUUAACCUCACCAAGCCAUUAAUACUGUAGAGCUAGAGAACAGACGAAGUAGGCGGAAUUAGUGGAGUAGCGGUGAAAUGCAUAGAGAUCACGGAGAACUCCGAUAGCGAAGGCAGCAUACCAGCCCGCGUCUGACGCUGAUGCACGAGAGCAUGGGUAGCGAACAGGAUUAGAUACCCGGGUAGUC
rnacentral:rRNA from 1 species